AUCGCAAGACCUGGCGCUUGAUGAGGGGCCCGCGCCUGAUUAGCUAGUUGGUGGGGUAAUGGCUCACCAAGGCAACGAUCAGUAUCCGGCCUGAGAGGGCGGACGGACACACUGGGACUGAGACACGGCCCAGACUCCUACGGGAGGCAGCAGUGGGGAAUUGUUCGCAAUGGGCGCAAGCCUGACGACGCAACGCCGCGUGGAGGAUGAAGGUCUUCGGAUUGUAAACUCCUGUUGCCCGGGACGAACGGCUCCGACCUAACACGUCGGAGUGUGACGGUACUCAGGGUGAGGAAGCUCACACAGGCUAACUCUGUGCUAGUNNACACAGCGUAAUUC
rnacentral:rRNA from 1 species